rnacentral:lncRNA from 1 species
GGAAAGGGGAGCUGGAGAGGAGAGCAUGACAUGCCUUCCGAGGUAGGUUUCAGGAGAGUUGGCAGGUUCUGCAAGGAAGGGCGCCAAGUAACUGGGGCUUGGAGGGGGUUAAAGAAAGAGAGUGUACAGAGGUUGGAAGCAGGAGGAGGUUUUGGCCUUUAGCCAAAGAUGAGACAAGGGGAAAGGAGAAGUUACAGUUUUGGAGUUAGAACUGGGGAAAGCAGGCUGUCUUAGUAGGAAAGAUCUGCAAACAGCUGGACUGAGGGAGGGACUUCUCAGGGAGGUACACACAUGUUAUCUCAUUAAGAGAAUAAUUAUUUCCCCCAUCUCUGUAACAUCUUCAGGUGAAUCAGUUUUCCUGAGGGGUAGUCUCCAGGCGAGGUGAUUGACAGGUCCAGCUGGACUCACUCUUAAAUGAGAAGACAAUAGUAAUGUAUUGUGCAGUUUAGAUUGUCAGUUUUCCACCCAAGGCCAAAGAUAGAACUCAGAUUCAAUUCUUUUAACUAGAACAAAGCCACCUAACGCGCCCUCAAACGGCUUCUCCUCAGUUGUAGUCUCAUCCACAUAGGAGUCUCUGAUUGGUAUUAAAUUCUCUGACAUUCAAGGAAUCCUUAGUCAAUGAUUAGCAUAAAAAUUCAUCUCAUUGCUAUGCAUGAAUAUUUUAGAAUUAUCUACAGUUUUGAGUUGAGUUGCUUCUCUUACGGUAUCAACUCAGAUCUGAUUCUGGUUUGCUAGGUGAAUUGUGCAUUUAUUUAAUAUUUAUUAGGAUGAUAGUAGCUAGUCUUUAUUGAGUGAAACACCAGAUAAAGCAUAUAGGGCAAUUCAUUUACUCUCAAAACAGCCUCCAGGACUCCUGGGUGCACAUGUACAAUCUGUGCUGGCAAGGAAGGUUCGAGGGAUUUGGUGGGGCUUCAGGCUACCUUGCCUCUGGUCCAUAAGCUGUGCGGGGCAAGAAGCCCUAUACCCCACAAAGGUGACAGCCAGACUGGUGCAUUUAUAGCUUUGGUGAACCAAGACACAAACACCCUCAUUUCCUACUCAUUACACAGACUAGGAAAUAGAGGUGUAAAAAUGUUAAACUUCCUAAAGUCAUAUGUAGACAGGAGGUGGUAUCCAGUCUUAAACCAGGAGGCCUAUAUCAGACAAAAGCUCUUACUCCGGACACUGUUUGCAUAGGGGCUUUUCUGCUCCUUAGGACUGCUGUCUUGAGUCAAGCACCUGAAAAACGUGCAUGCUCAUAUAAAUGAUUGCCUUCCACAUAGUAUGGCAUUCUAUGCCAGCCGUGC